rnacentral:rRNA from 1 species
GGGGAAUAUUGCACAAUGGGGGGAACCCUGAUGCAGCCAUGCCGCGUGAAUGAAGAAGGCCUUCGGGUUGUAAAGUUCUUUCGGUGACGAGGAAGGUUGAUAGGUUAAUAGCCUAUCAAAUUGACGUUAAUCACAGAAGAAGCACCGGCUAACUCCGUGCCAGCAGCCGCGGUAAUACGGGGGGUGCGAGCGUUAAUCGGAAUAACUGGGCGUAAAGGGCACGCAGGCGGUGACUUAAGUGAGAUGUGAAAGCCCCGGGCUUAACCUGGGAAUUGCAUUUCAUACUGGGUCGCUAGAGUACUUUAGGGAGGGGUAGAAUUCCACGUGUAGCGGUGAAAUGCGUAGAGAUGUGGAGGAAUACCGAAGGCGAAGGCAGCCCCUUGGGAAUGUACUGACGCUCAUGUGCGAAAGCGUGGGGAGCAAACAGGAUUAGAUACCCUGGUAGUCCACGCUGUAAACGAUGUCGAUUUGGGGAUUGGGCUUUGAGCUUGGUGCCCGUAGCUAACGUGAUAAAUCGACCGCCUGGGGAGUACGGCCGCAAGGUUA